rnacentral:rRNA from 1 species
UUCCGGUUGAUCCCGCCGGACCCUACUGCUAUCGGGGUGGGGCUAAGACAUGCGAGUUGAACGUUUCACAGCCACGAGUGAAACGUAGCAUACGGCUCAGUAACACGUGGCUAACCUACCCUCGAGACGGAGACAACCCCGGGAAACUGGGGCUAAUCCCCGAUAGGUGAAGAUUCCUGGAACGGGUCUUCGCCCAAAAGGUGUUGAAAUCAUGCUUUUCAGCAUUGCUCGAGGAUGGAGCCGCGGCCGAUCAGGUAGUUGGUGAGGUAACGGCUCACCAAGCCUAUAACCGGUACGGGCCGUGGGAGCGGGAGCCCGGAGAUGGGAACUGAGACAAGGUCCCAGGCCCUACGGGGCGCAGCAGUCGCGAAAACUCCGCAAUGCACGAAAGUGUGACGGGGCUACCCCGAGUGCCGUCCGCUGAGGAUGGCUUUUCUCUGCUGUAAGGAGGCGGAGGAAUAAGGAGAGGGCAAGUCUGGUGUCAGCCGCCGCGGUAAUACCAGCUCUCCGAGUGGUAGGGAUGAUUAUUGGGCUUAAAGCGUCCGUAGCCGGCUUUUCAAGUCUCUUGUUAAAUCCAGCGAUUCAAUCGUUGGACUGCGGGAGAUACUGUUAGGCUAGGAGAUGGGAGAAGCCGACGGUAUUCCCGGAGUAGGGGUAAAAUCCUAUAAUCCCGGGAAG